rnacentral:rRNA from 4 species
ACGAACGCUGGCGGCGUGCUUAACACAUGCAAGUCGAACGGUGAACUUGGGAGCUUGCUUCCGGGGGAUCAGUGGCGAACGGGUGAGUAACACGUGAGCAAUCUGCCCUUGACUCUGGGAUAAGCGUUGGAAACGACGUCUAAUACCGGAUACGAACUUCAGCCGCAUGGCUAGGAGUUGGAAAGAAUUUUGGUCAAGGAUGAGCUCGCGGCCUAUCAGCUUGUUGGUGAGGUAAUGGCUCACCAAGGCGACGACGGGUAGCCG